rnacentral:lncRNA from 1 species
GUGAGUUCCUCUAGACUGCAUGUAAUGCCGUUGUGUCUGUGUUACCUGCAGUUUUGAAGGUGCCACUGGGUGUUCAAUAGACUUGCUGAGAGAUGGGCUCAUGUCUGCUCCUGAGCCACUAGGUCUUUCCCUAAGCCUAUGGAGCUUCGCAAGAGACUUCUAAGGGCCAGUUGGUCUCACUGGAUGAAGCAGAGAGCUGGCCUGUGGCACUCAGGAGUCAGGUUAUAUCAAUUUCUAUCAUCUUACAAAAUAUUGAUGCUCCCAAUCCAUUGGAAAAGAUUGAUGCAGUAAAUCAACAAUGAGUAAGGAAGCCCAAAUACGAAUGUAGCCAGAAUUCCAAGACUCUUGGCGAGAUGCAGCUUCUUCUUGGGUCCUUAGACUGGGAGCUUCUUGGAGACACCAACUGUGAAUCAUUUAUCUCUGCACCUCC